AUUGAACGCUGGCGGCAGGCCUAACACAUGCAAGUCGAGCGAGAAAGCCCUUCGGGGUGAGUAGAGCGGCGGACGGGUGAGUAACGCGUAGGAAUCUACCCAGUAGCGGGGGAUAACAUGGAGAAAUUCAUGCUAAUACCGCAUACGCCCUGAGGGGGAAAGCGGGGGACCUUUAUGGCCUCGCACUAUUGGAUGAGCCUGCGUAAGAUUAGCUAGUUGGUGAGGUAAAGGCUCACCAAGGCGACGAUCUUUAGCUGGUCUGAGAGGAUGAUCAGCCACACUGGGACUGAGACACGGCCCAGACUCCUACGGGAGGCAGCAGUGGGGAAUAUUGCACAAUGGGCGCAAGCCUGAUGCAGCCAUGCCGCGUGUGUGAAGAAGGCCUUCGGGUUGUAAAGCACUUUCAGCAGGGAGGAAAAGCUGUCCGUUAAUAGCGUACAGCCGUGACGUUACCUGCAGAAGAAGCACCGGCUAACUCCG
rnacentral:rRNA from 1 species